rnacentral:pre_miRNA from 1 species
UCCUCAAAGCUAGACUGAGCAAGGCAGAGUGUAGAAUGUCGAAUCCAAUUCAUAUAACGAUUUUUUGUUACUUACAAUGUAUCUCUCGCCAUUGGCUCACCGCCUCACCGUAAGUAAAAAAAAAAAAAUCCUACACUCUGUCUUGCUCAGACUAGCUUUGAUUC